CCGGGAUAGCUCAGUUGGUAGAGCAGAGGAUUGAAAAUCCUCGUGUCACCAGUUCAAAU
rnacentral:tRNA from 1 species